UACGUAGGGGGCAAGCGUUAUCCGGAUUUACUGGGUGUAAAGGGAGCGUAGACGGCUGUGCAAGUCUGAAGUGAAAGGCAUGGGCUCAACCUGUGGACUGCUUUGGAAACUGUGCAGCUAGAGUGUCGGAGAGGUAAGUGGAAUUCCUGGUGUAGCGGUGAAAUGCGUAGAUAUUAGGAGGAACACCAGUGGCGAAGGCGGCUUACUGGACGAUGACUGACGUUGAGGCUCGAAAGCGUGGGGAGCAAACAGG
rnacentral:rRNA from 1 species